GAGAUCCAUUCCAUUGGUGUUUUCCAUGUGAGCCCAGGGUAUGGUGGGACAGUGGAUCUGCCCAUAAAAGUGGCUUGAAGAAGAUGUGGAACUUUGGCUCAGAUAGCAGAUUGCCAUUUUAUUCCCCCCAUGUGUGCUGUGCUAAACAUAACGAGUCUGAAGCUGUUAAGUCAAAUCAU